rnacentral:rRNA from 1 species
UCCCGUUGAUCCUGCGGGAGGCCACCGGCUAUCCCCGUCCGGCUAACCCGUGGAAGGCGAGGGAGCCCGGGUAAGGGUUCCCGCCGCACGGGUGAGUAACACGUCGGUAACCUACCCUCGGGACGGGGAUAACCCCGGGAAACUGGGGAUAAUCCCCGAUAGGGGAUGGGUGCUGGAAGGCCCCAUCCCCGAGAGGGGCUGGGGGUAUUUCCUCCCCCAGCCCGCCCGAGGAUGGGCCGGCGGCCUAUCAGGUAGUUGGCGGGGUAAUGGCCCGCCAAGCCGAAGACGGGUAGGGGCUGUGAGAGCGGGAGCCCCCAGAUCGGCACUGAGACAAGGGCCGAGGCCCUACGGGGCGCACCAGGGGCGAAACCUCCGCAAUGCGGGAAACCGUGAACGGGGGGACGGGGAGUGCCGGCGGGCUUUUGCUCGCCGGCUUUUGGGCGAGUGUAAACAGCUUCCCCGAAUAAGCGGUGGGCAAG